UGAUUGAAAGAUGAACCAAGGAAUAAUAUUUCAUAUUAAUAAAUUAUUUGAAAGAAAUUUGCUACGGGCGAAAAAAUCAGUCUAAAUAUAUAUUUUAAUAGAUUAAUAUUCUUUUACUUCAAUAUUAAAAUUUUGAUGAUUUGGGGGAGAUACAUGCCACGUCACUUAGUUAUAAAUAAAGAAGAGAAAAUGAUGCAUUGAAGAAGAAAUUAAAUUGUACAUAUAGAACCAGCCAUUUAAUUUUUUCCUUAAAAUAUUAUUUGACCCAUCGUCCAUCGAUAAGGUUGCGCAGUAGCUAAUUCGAAUUUAACCAACACUGAAGCAGGGUAAUAAGCUGAAAAAUCGACAGCUUGGAACAAAAUACGAAAUACAUGUAUAUGUGGGUACGAUUGACUUUCUCUCGUAGUUCCCGGUCUCUCGCAUUGAUGAACUACUAAAACAUUCUGCAAAUUCAUGCCCAGAUGUUUUCGGCUUCUGCAACCGCUAUUUCGAAUUUCCGAUUCUGUCAAAUUGAUAUUGUCACUUCACGUGAAGAGGAGGAAGAAGAGAAAAAAAGACUGGUUAAUUUUUGUAGUGAAGGUUGCAACUGUUUAGUCUUAGGUAAAGAGACUCCUUGUUUCAAAUUGUUUACGAUGGAAGAAAUGUCUCAUCGUCGGAAUCAAUGUUUAGGCAUGUCUUCUAAGAUUCACGUAGCUUUCGUGAUGAGUCAUUUCGCCUCACUGGAGUUAGAGGAUAAAACUAACAAUAAAUUCGUUAUAGGUGACAAGGACGUUUGUAUACUUACCUUUUCUUUCCUCUUGAGGAUGUCAAAAUCAAAAAUAGAGUAAAUAUAUACUCAUUAUUUAACAAAUGGAUUUACGGAAAUAAAACAAAGCACUGAAGAAGAGACAGCUGCUUACGACGAAUUAAAGAGAGAGGAUAACUUCAGAAUCAGACACAAAUCUUGAACCUUCGCAUGCUCCAACAAUGGUUGCUCAUCAACAUCAGAUGAAAACAGCAAGGAAAAGAUGUUUAACAUGUAAAGGGUGUCUUUUAUAUUAUAAAUUUCUAAGAAAGGAGGAAAGGAAGUGCUAUUGGUGUAAAUAUUGUACGAAAAAAUAUUUAAAAAAAGGAUGCUCAAAAUUUACAUGUUUAAAAAAUUAACCCCUUAAUGAUUUAACUAUUUACAGUUUAAUAAAGGGAUAUGUAUUGAAAACACAUAUCGGUACUGCA
rnacentral:lncRNA from 1 species